UACGUAGGGUGCAAGCGUUGUCCGGAAUUAUUGGGCGUAAAGAGCUCGUAGGUGGCCUGUCGCGUCGGCUGUGAAAACUCGGGGCUCAACUCCGAGCUUGCAGUCGAUACGGGCAGGCUAGAGUUCGGCAGGGGAGACUGGAAUUCCUGGUGUAGCGGUGAAAUGCGCAGAUAUCAGGAGGAACACCGGUGGCGAAGGCGGGUCUCUGGGCCGAUACUGACGCUGAGACGCGAAAGCGUGGGGAGCGAACAGG
rnacentral:rRNA from 1 species